rnacentral:rRNA from 1 species
AUUGAACGCUGGCGGCGGGCCUAACACAUGCAAGUCGAACGGUAACAGGAAGCAGCUUGCUGCUUCGCUGACGAGUGGCGGACGGGUGAGUAAUGUCUGGGAAGCUGCCUGAUGGAGGGGGAUAACUACUGGAAACGGUAGCUAAUACCGCAUAAUGUCGCAAGACCAAAGAGGGGGACCUUCGGGCCUCUUGCCAUCGGAUGUGCCCAGAUGGGAUUAGCUUGUUGGUGGGGUAACGGCUCACCAAGGCGACGAUCCCUAGCUGGUCUGAGAGGAUGACCAGCCACACUGGGACUGAGACACGGUCCAGACUCCUACGGGAGGCAGCAGUGGGGAAUAUUGCACAAUGGGCGCAAGCCUGAUGCAGCCAUGCCGCGUGUAUGAAGAAGGCCUUCGGGUUGUAAAGUACUUUCAGCGGGGAGGAAGGGAGUAAAGUUAAUACCUUUGCUCAUUGACGUUACCCGCAGAAGAAGCACCGGCUAACUCCGUG